rnacentral:rRNA from 1 species
AGGGUUCGAUUCUGGCUCAGAUUGAACGCUGGCGGCAGGCCUAAUACAUGCAAGUCGAACGGUAACAUAGGAAAAGCUUGCUUUCCUGAUGACGAGUGGCGGACGGGUGAGUAAAGUUUGGGAAGCUACCUGAUAGAGGGGGACAACAGUUGGAAACGACUGCUAAUACCGCAUACAGCCUGAGGGUGAAAGCAGCAAUGCGCUAUCAGAUGCGCCCAAAUGGGAUUAGCUAGUAGGUGAGGUAAAGGCUCACCUAGGCGACGAUCUCUAGCUGGUCUGAGAGGAUGAUCAGCCACAUUGGGACUGAGACACGGCCCAGACUCCUACGGGAGGCAGCAGUAGGGAAUAUUGCACAAUGGAGGAAACUCUGAUGCCAGCCAUGCCGCGUGUGUGAAGAAGGCCUUCGGGUUGUAAAGCACUUUCGGAGGGGAGGAGAAUGACGUUACCCUCAGAAGAAGCACCGGCUAACUCCGUGCCAGCAGCCGC